AGGACGAACGCUGGCGGCGUGCUUAACACAUGCAAGUCGAGCGGAAAGGCCCUUCGGGGUACUCGAGCGGCGAACGGGUGAGUAACACGUGAGCAACCUGCCCUUAGCUCCGGGAUAGCUCCGGGAAACCGGAAUUAAUACCGGAUACGACCACGGCCGACAUCUGCUGUGGUGGAAAGGAUUCCGGCUAAGGAUGGGCUCGCGGCCUAUCAGCUAGUUGGUGGAGUAACGGCCCACCAAGGCGACGACGGGUAGCCGGCCUGAGAGGGCGACCGGCCACACUGGGACUGAGACACGGCCCAGACUCCUACGGGAGGCAGCAGUGGGAAUAUUGCGCAAUGGGCGAAAGCCUGACGCAGCGACGCCGCGUGGGGGAUGAAGGCCUUCGGGUUGUAAACCCUUCAGCAGGGACGAAGCGAAAGUGACGGUACCUGCAGAAGAAGCGCCGGCUAACUACGUGCCAGCAGCCGC
rnacentral:rRNA from 1 species